AUGGAGUUAGCCAUGGCCGCCGCCUACACCUCGUGCCUGGGCCUGCCCCCCGCCGCGCACCCGUACGACGACGCAUCCGUGGCCUGCGCCCUCGGCCAGCUCUACUCCACCAAGGAUCCGUUCGCCCUGCCGGUCAGCUGCCUCCUCCCGCCCCCCGAGCUGCCGCCGGCCUUCGGGUUGCCCGUCGGCGGCCUCGCCCCCGUCUGCUGCUGCGCCAAAGCCGCGGGGCCCCCCGCGUUCCCGCCCUUUCCGUGGGCGCACGCGCCCUCGCCGCCAGCGCCGCCGCGCUGCGCCAUCACGGAGAUCGACGAGUCCCGGGAGGUGGAGUCGGAGGACAACCUCUCCCCUCGCUCUGUCCUCACGCCCUGGAGGAGGCCGACGCCCGCCUCGCCGCUGUCUCCGCCUCCGCCUCUUGUGGUCGGGGGCAAACGGGCCUUCGACCCAAGCAGCGAGAAGACUUCUCUGAUGAUCUGCAAUAUCCCCAACGGAUUCGUGAAGCGGAGGUUCAUGGCGAUUCUGGACCAGCAUUGCGUCCAGGAGAACGAUAAUCCUGAAUGGCGUGUCGUUGGCGGUGGCAAGUUCGUGAGGUCGGAGUAUGACUUCCUCUACAUCCCAAUAGACUUCAGAAAGAGGAGGCAAAUCGAAACCUGCUGCAGUGGGGAACAAAACUGUUUGAGCUGGUGGCUACUGGCUAGUGAUGUCUUUGCUUCGUCGCGAGGAUGGAGGCCUACUCACCUUACCGUAGGUGCUUAG
rnacentral:rRNA from 1 species